rnacentral:rRNA from 1 species
CCUACGGGAGGCAGCAGUGAGGAAUAUUGGUCAAUGGGCGGAAGCCUGAACCAGCCAAGUAGCGUGCGGGAUGAAGGCCCUACGGGUCGUAAACCGCUUUUGCACGGGGAUACCACCCUCCACGUGUGGAGGUCUGCAGGUACCGUGCGAAUAAGGGCCGGCUAAUUCCGUGUCAGCAGCCGCGGUAAUACGGAAGGCCCGAGCGUUAUCCGGAUUCAUUGGGCUUAAAGGGAGCGUAGGCGGGCGUUCAAGUCAGCUGUAAAAUCGCGCGGCUCAACCGCGCCCCGCAGUUGACACGGGCCGACUUGAGUUCACAAGAGGCAGGCGGAAUUCGUGGUGUAGCGGUGAAAUGCGUAGAUAUAACGAGGAACCCCGAUUGCGAAGGCAGCCUGCCGGGGUGCGACUGACGCUGAGGCUCGAAGGUGCGGGUAUCAAACAGGAUUAGAUACCCCAGUAGUC